GAUCAACGCUGGCGGCGUGCCUAAUGCAUGCAAGUCGAGCGGGGGUGGUCUUCGGAGCACUUACGCGGCGGACGGGUGCGUAACACGUGGGCAAUCUGCCCUGGGGUGGGGAUAGCCGUGGGAAGCCGCGGGUAAUUCCGCCUACGUUCGGUGGUCGGCAGGACCGCCGAAGAAAGGGGUCUUUUAGACUCGCCCUGGGAGGAGCCUGCGGCCGAUUAGCUAGACGGUGGGGUCACGGCCUACCGUGGCGAUGAUCGGUAGCUGGUCUGAGAGGACGGCCAGCCACACGGGGGACUGAGACACGGCCCCGACUCCUACGGGAGGCAGCAGCAAGGAAUCUUCCGCAAUGGGC
rnacentral:rRNA from 1 species